rnacentral:misc_RNA from 1 species
UUUCCGUAGGUGAACCUGAGGAAGGAUCAUUAAAGUUAUAGUCCCCCGGCCCUCUGGGCUGGGGUCUUCUAUACCACCCUUUGUUUAUUACACCUUUGUUGCUUUGGCAGGCCUGCCCUCGGGCUGCUGGCUCCGGCCGGCUCGCGUCUGCCAGAGGACCUAAACUCUGUUUGUAUAUGAAGUCUGAGUACUAUAUAAUAGUUAAAACUUUCAACAACGGAUCUCUUGGUUCUG